CUCUCACAACCUCAUCUCCUUCUCCCCGAGCUACAUCACUCACCCACACGGUGACAACGACGGCAUCACUAUCACCAUCACCAUCACCCACCACAAGUGUCGACCUUCUCCCUCCCUCAUUCUCUGGGAAGCACAAAGGCUACCCAGCCUCUUCUGGAGAGUCCGACGGCUUCGAGCCAUUUCCCGACCACAACUGGACUUGAAAAUGGACUUAGAAUCGAGGCGUACAAUUCCGACGUCAGGGCACUCCCUGUAUCGGCAUCGUCGAGUCCUCUCGGUGUAAGACCCAUCAUUUUGUUCAUUCAAUUUUAUAUUAUUUCCUUUCUAGAGUCUCGAAUUAGUUGUAUGCUCUGAACAUGUUCCACAAUUGCAUAAUCAUUGUAGCUAAACUUAUAACUUUUAUUUAUAUUCGUAUUUCUUCA